rnacentral:misc_RNA from 1 species
AAUUAGGAAAUACUUCGUUUAAAUAUUCCCUAACUGUCAGGCGCCAGUGGGCAGGACAUCCGUCAUGUUGGAAAAUGAUGGGCCUAUCUUCUUCUAUUAUUGGCAAAUUACAUGUGAGUUCUGGUAAAUCAUUUUGGAGGAACUCCAAAUAAUUAUCUCCGUUUAAAUUGUCUGGUAAGAAAUGCGGCCCAAUCACAUUAUUUCUAAUUACUCCUGCCCACACAUUUACUGAGAACUUUCUUUGGAAGCGUGUUUGUUUCUUUAAUUUAGGAUUUUCACCUUUCCGCGCCCAAUGAUGUAGGUUAUGUAAGUUGAGUAUUCCUUCACGAGUGAAUUUAGACUCGUCUGUCCAUAAGAUACUUUUUAAAAAGUUUUCAUUUUCAAUAUCGGUGUGCAAAAUAAAUCUGCAAUAUUGCACACGCUGGUGAAAAUCAUUAUCUUCUAGCCCUGUAACAAACAAAAAAACAGUUUCGAUAUUUGCAAUACGUGUUUACCUACUCACGAAAAAAAAAAACAAUAGAUAUGCACUGGCACAGGGCAGCUAACAAAAGAAACAAAAAACAAAGCACUGGUACCUGACCGAAGACAAAGCCCUAUUUUCAACAAAAGAAUUAAAUCUUAACGAAAAGGAUCAUAAAUCAUGAUUCAUUGAUUUCCUAGUAUCCCAAAUUAAUAAAUUUUUAAAAUUUCUUAGAAAUAAAGCUUUGCUAUACUGCGGUCGCGGAAUAGAAAGAAAUUCGUACACCGAACCCUCAUCUUUUGUUUUUGUCGCUCGCGUAUAAACAUAUUGCGGUUGCGCUCACACAGGUGAAGUGACCCCGUAAUGUGUACUUGUAUGGCAUGGACUCAGAAUACAGAAAAAACCAGAAGGAGUGUUCUAUAAAAUUUCUACGCAGCGCACUGUGUCCAAAACAAUGGCCAAGCACCGCCCCGCCCGCUCUUUACCUCCCCGCGUAGGGUUAUCAGCGCAACACAACAAUACCUCUUUAUGGGGUAAAAUUCAACUUUUUAUAAAAUUUGCAAAGCAAUUGUUUAUUUAUUUAUUGACUUAUUUAAUUAGUUAGUACAGAUUUAACCAAUUACACUAAUUAACAUUUUCAUACAAAUUAAAUAAAAAGCAAACAAAAAUAAAUAAAUAAAUAAUGCUAAUAAAAUUAUAAACUAAAAUUCCAAGUCGUAAUUGAACAGAAAUACAAAAAAAAAAAAAACAUUAAAACUCCUUUACUAAUAUUAUAAAUGUGAGUAACUCUGUCUGUCACGCUUUCACGCCAAAACUACUGAACCGAUUCAAAUGAAAUUUGGUACACAGAUAGUCUAGAGCUUGAGAAAAGACAUAUGCUAUUUUUAAUGCGAAAAAAGGGGUGUAAGGGGUUGAAAGGUGGGGAUGAACAGUUCUAGAAGCUUGAAACUUAUUUUUUAAGCUGUUGAUUCGGUAUAAAUAAAUAUGAAAUUAUUCCGCGCCGACGAAGUCGCGGGCACAGCUAGUUUAAAAUAAAAAAAGAAAGUUACAUGUCAGUUCUUACAGAGAAUCGAAAUAAUAAUAAUAAUUGAAAUGAAAAUAAAUGAAAAUAAAAGGGAAUUAUAAUAAAUGAAUGAAAAUGAAAAUAAUGAAUAAAAUGAAAUAAAUGUCAAAUCUAACCAAUUUAUAAAACUAACCAAUUACAACUUAUACUAAUUGCCUGAUUAGCUUUCAUGUAACAUAUUUAGCUUUUAUAUUUGGGGGCAUCAGAUUAUAAUAAUAACAAUUUCAUCUUAUAGAGUAAUUUAUUCAUUUUAAAUAUUAAAAAAUUACAUAGUUCAAUAUGCUAUGUGAGUAAAGUGUGUUAUUAUUUUUACUGUACAGAAUAUACCAAGCAAACUUAAACUAAGGCUCACGCCUAGGCCUAAACUGUGUAUAUGUGUAAUAUUUCCUAAUCUUAGUUAGAUUAGGAUUUGUCUUAAUCUAGCUAACAUAACAAAAAGUCCACGUACAAAUACUAUACAAAAAUUGAACUUAAGAUACUUUUUCCCUUUGAUAUUAGUCAUAACAAAGAUAAAAUUCUGCCCUAAAGAAUUAUUCAGGUACCUUUCUGUUGUGUAAGUUUAUUGUAAUAUUGCCUUUUAGAAUCGGGAAUCAUUUUAAGAGUUUUGCAUUUAGAUACAUGAUGCAAUCUUAUAUCUAGAUAUUUUUCAAUUACUGCCCGUAUAAGACUGUUUUUAUGGAUCUGGCCAUUUACAUGGUUUUUUUCAAACAUAAAUAUGCCACAAUUACCAAAGAAUUUUUUGUAAAUUUGAA